rnacentral:lncRNA from 1 species
AUGUUGGCCAGGCUGGUCUCGAACUCCUGACCUCAAAUGAUCUGCUCACCUUGGCCUCCCAAGGUGCUGGGAUUACAGGUGUGAGCCACCAUGCCCGGCCUGAACUCUUCUAAUUCCUUUAAAUCCAAUUAAGUCAAAUGUUUGGGAACCAGAUUGAGUUUACAUGUUUGAAAUUCUUAUUUCACAGUGAUCUCUAUACAUUCAUGCCUUCUAGCAUUCUAAUGUCUUCCAGCAACCCAUUUUUAACGCUGUUUAAAAUACUGGAUAAAACAACUAAAGGACAUUAUUGAGACAGUUGGGGAAAUUUGAAUGCUGACUGUAUUAAAUAAUAGUAUUGUGUCAGUGUUAACAUUCCCAAAGGUGAUAGUUGUAGUCAUGCAGGAGAAUGCCCUUGUUCUUAGGCAGAUAUAUGCCAAAGUGUUUAGGGAUGAAGUAUUAUGAUGUCUGCAACUAAUUUGCACAUAGUUCAGCAAAAGAAAGAAGGAGGGAAGAAGGAAGAGAGGAAGGAAAGAAAUUAACAGUGGUAAAUUUGAUUGUUCAUUGAACUGUUGCAACUUUUCUGAAGGUUUGUAAUUUUUCAAAAUAAAAUUUUAAAAUUGUGUAUAAAAAUGCUUUAAAGUUCAGAAGGUCAAGGGUUUUCUCUUGGGGAAGGUUUUUUAGUAAUACAGGUGAACAGAGAAAUCGUUUAUGAUAUAAUUAAAUAGUCCUACUACAACAGCUUAGGAAUACAAUUUGCAUUCUCUUGGAAUAUCUCACUGCAGAAACUAUUGCUGCCUGAUGUGGAAAAAUAAAGGGAACACCUUUAUUUAUUUUCUGCCCUCAAAUUUGAUAGUACUUAACAAUGUGAGCUUUAAUUACUUCCAUAAAAUUUGGUUUCUGUUGCUUUACUGGCAUAAGCUUUCAGAAUCCCUAACCAAAGCCUGAGAUGUCUUCUGAAGGCAGUCAUAUCUUUUUAGUAAUAAUAGCAUAUCUUUUUUUGCUUUAGGAAGUAUUUAAAAGGUAAUUAUCGGCUGGGCACGGUGGCUCACGCCUGUAAUCCCAGCACUUUGGGAGGCCGAGGCGGGCAGAUCACCUGAGGUCAGGAGUUUUGAGACCAGCCUGGCCAACACGGUGAA